GGACUCAAGAGGGAAACAACCCAGACCGCCAGCUAAGGUCCCAAAUUAUCGCUAAGUGGGAAACGAAGUGGGAAGGCAUAGACAGUCAGGAGGUUGGCUUAGAAGCAGCCAUCCUUUAAAGAAAGCGUAAUAGCUCACUGAUCGAGUCGUCCUGCGCGGAAGAUGUAACGGGGCUAAGCGAUAAACCGAAGCUGCGGGUGUGCACUUUGUGCACGCGGUAGGAGAGCGUUCUGUAAGCC
rnacentral:rRNA from 1 species